UUUUUGAACAGAGGCAUGCCCUUUUUGUCGAAGAGUGCGGGAAGCUAUGACCGAGCUGGAUCUUUCUGCAGAGGUCUAUCCAUGUCCAAAAGGAUCAGUAAGACACAGAGAAAUCGUUCGUAAAAUUGGCGGUCAUGAGCAGUUUUGAUUCUUAUCAUUUGGAGCUUCUGCUGCUGUGGAGGUUUUCUGUGUUCCAAAAGUGUAGGCAGUUUGGCUAUUUCAUCCACCACGAUAGGAGAAUAAAUUGGAUUCUUAAUGUAUAUUUGAUUCUUCUCAUUGUCAUGCGACUGAUUUUGUAAUGCUAAUUAAUACAGCCAU